UGCAUAAGCAGUUACUGUUAACUGAAUACAUAGGUUAACAGAGCAAACCGGGGGAACUGAAACAUCUAAGUACCCCGAGGAGAAGAAAUCAACCGAGAUUCCGGUAGUAGCGGCGAGCGAACCUGGAUUAGCCCUUAAGCACUCGGUGAAGUAGGUGAACAAGCUGGAAAGCUUGGCGAUACAGGGUGAUAGCCCCGUAACCGACGCUUCAUCGAGCGUGAAAUCGAGUAGGGCGGGACACGUGAUAUCCUGUCUGAAUAUGGGGGGACCAUCCUCCAAGGCUAAAUACUCCUGACUGACCGAUAGUGAACCAGUACCGUGAGGGAAAGGCGAAAAGAACCCCUGUGAGGGGAGUGAAAUAGAACCUGAAACCGUGUACGUACAAGCAGUAGGAGCACCUUCGUGGUGUGACUGCGUACCUUUUGUAUAAUGGGUCAGCGACUUAUAUUCAGUGGCAAGGUUAACCGUAUAGGGGAGCCGUAGCGAAAGCGAGUCUUAACUGGGCGCUCAGUCUCUGGAUAUAGACCCGAAACCGGGUGAUCUAGCCAUGGGCAGGUUGAAGGUUGAGUAACAUCAACUGGAGGACCGAACCGACUAAUGUUGAAAAAUUAGCGGAUGACUUGUGGCUAGGGGUGAAAGGCCAAUCAAACUCGGAGAUAGCUGGUUCUCCCCGAAAGCUAUUUAGGUAGCGCCUCGGACGAAUACUACUGGGGGUAGAGCACUGUUAAGGCUAGGGGGUCAUCCCGACUUACCAACCCUUUGCAAACUCCGAAUACCAGUAAGUACUAUCCGGGAGACACACGGCGGGUGCUAACGUCCGUCGUGGAGAGGGAAACAACCCAGACCGCCAGCUAAGGUCCCAAAGUAUUGCUAAGUGGGAAACGAUGUGGGAAGGCUCAGACAGCUAGGAUGUUGGCUUAGAAGCAGCCAUCAUUUAAAGAAAGCGUAAUAGCUCACUAGUCGAGUCGGCCUGCGCGGAAGAUGUAACGGGGCUAAGCAAUACACCGAAGCUGCGGCAAUGUCUUUUAGACAUUGGGUAGGGGAGCGUUCUGUAAGCCGUUGAAGGUGAAUCGUAAGGUUUGCUGGAGGUAUCAGAAGUGCGAAUGCUGACAUGAGUAACGACAAAGGGGGUGAAAAACCUCCUCGCCGGAAGACCAAGGGUUCCUGUCCAACGUUAAUCGGGGCAGGGUGAGUCGACCCCUAAGGUGAGGCCGAAAGGCGUAAUCGAUGGGAAACGGGUUAAUAUUCCCGUACUUCUGACUAUUGCGAUGGGGGGACGGAGAAGGCUAGGUGGGCCAGGCGACGGUUGUCCUGGUUCAAGUGCGUAGGCUUGAGAGUUAGGUAAAUCCGGCUCUCUCUAAGGCUGAGACACGACGUCGAGCUACUACGGUAGUGAAGUCAUUGAUGCCAUGCUUCCAGGAAAAGCCUCUAAGCUUCAGAUAGUCAGGAAUCGUACCCCAAACCGACACAGGUGGUCGGGUAGAGAAUACCAAGGCGCUUGAGAGAACUCGGGUGAAGGAACUAGGCAAAAUGGUACCGUAACUUCGGGAGAAGGUACGCUCUUGAUGGUGAAGUCCCUCGCGGAUGGAGCUGACGAGAGUCGCAGAUACCAGGUGGCUGCAACUGUUUAUUAAAAACACAGCACUGUGCAAAAUCGCAAGAUGACGUAUACGGUGUGACGCCUGCCCGGUGCCGGAAGGUUAAUUGAUGGGGUUAGCGCAAGCGAAGCUCUUGAUCGAAGCCCCGGUAAACGGCGGCCGUAACUAUAACGGUCCUAAGGUAGCGAAAUUCCUUGUCGGGUAAGUUCCGACCUGCACGAAUGGCGUAAUGAUGGCCACGCUGUCUCCACCCGAGACUCAGUGAAAUUGAAAUCGCUGUGAAGAUGCAGUGUACCCGCGGCUAGACGGAAAGACCCCGUGAACCUUUACUACAGCUUGGCACUGAACAUUGAACCUACAUGUGUAGGAUAGGUGGGAGGCUAUGAAGACGUGACGCCAGUUGCGUUGGAGCCGUCCUUGAAAUACCACCCUUGUAUGUUUGAUGUUCUAACUUAGACCCAUUAUCUGGGUUGAGGACAGUGCCUGGUGGGUAGUUUGACUGGGGCGGUCUCCUCCCAAAGAGUAACGGAGGAGCACGAAGGUGGGCUAAUCACGGUUGGACAUCGUGAGGUUAGUGCAAUGGCAUAAGCCCGCUUAACUGCGAGAAUGACGGUUCGAGCAGGUGCGAAAGCAGGUCAUAGUGAUCCGGUGGUUCUGUAUGGAAGGGCCAUCGCUCAACGGAUAAAAGGUACUCCGGGGAUAACAGGCUGAUACCGCCCAAGAGUUCAUAUCGACGGCGGUGUUUGGCACCUCGAUGUCGGCUCAUCACAUCCUGGGGCUGAAGUCGGUCCCAAGGGUAUGGCUGUUCGCCAUUUAAAGUGGUACGCGAGCUGGGUUUAGAACGUCGUGAGACAGUUCGGUCCCUAUCUGCCGUGGGCGUUGGAAGAUUGAAGGGGGCUGCUCCUAGUACGAGAGGACCGGAGUGGACGAACCUCUGGUGUUCGGGUUGUGUCGCCAGACGCAUUGCCCGGUAGCUAAGUUCGGAAUUGAUAAGCGCUGAAAGCAUCUAAGCGCGAAGCGAGCCCUGAGAUGAGUCUUCCCUGACAGUUUAACUGUCCUAAAGGGUUGUUCGAGACUAGAACGUUGAUAGGCAGGGUGUGUAAGCGUUGUGAGGCGUUGAGCUAACCUGUACUAAUUGCCCGUGAGGCUUAACCAU
rnacentral:rRNA from 1 species